rnacentral:lncRNA from 1 species
AGCCUCUCUCCCCGCCCUCGCUGCCUCACCCCCCCCACCCCACCCCCAUCACCCGAUCUGCACAAUCAGGCUUGGGAGAGUGAAAGGGUUUCACUUCCGCCUGGCUGCAGGAACCACAAGUUCCAGACUAGGUCGGAAUUCCGAAUAAUCACAGUCAAAAUCCACCCAGAUACUCUCACACGCCCAGCCGCGCGCGCAUCCCGGGGCCGCGGGGCACACGUGAGCCCACGCCCCGCGCGCCCGUCCCUGCCUCCUGCCGGAGCAUCCUCGGCUUGGGCGGCAGACGCAGCCGCCGCCGCCUCCUCCUCCUCUCGCCACCGCCUACACCGUCUCCUCUCCCCUCUCGUACUCCUUCCUCCCCCAGUUCCUGCUCCUCCUCCCGUCCGCGGCGGCGAAGGGCAGAACCCUCAGCAGCGGCUGCCUGCGCUUGGGCCGCCAAGAGCCUGGAACAGCUGCUUUAGCAAAAGCCUUGAAGACAGCCACAAAUACUCAAGAGUCCACCACUGGGAGCGAUUUCUGGCUGUAGGACUUGAGGCAGGCGUGGGAAGGGAGCCCUGAUAUCCAGGCUGCUUUGCGUGCCUGCCCAGGUAUGGCUUGGCUCAGCCUGCUGCAGCAGAGGCUCUAUUGCCACAUCUGAAUCGUUCGCCUCACAUUCAGAUCCCUUUCACGGUAGCAGUUUGUUCAUUCUGUUUGCUUGUUUGGUUUUCUUUCUGUCUCCAUCCAAAGAAGGGUAUAUUUUCACUUUUUUUACAUGUUCUGUAUAUUUAUUAUUAAAACAUGUACAGGGACGCCUGGGUGGCUCAGUGGUUGAACGUCUGCUUUCGGCUCAGGUAAUGAUCCCGGGGUCUUGGGAUCUAGUCCUGCAUCAGGCUCCCCUCAGGAAGCCUGCUUCUCCUUCUGCCUAUGUCUCUGCUUCUCUGUGUCUCUCAUGAAUAAAUAAAAUCUUAAAAAAAUACAAUAAAACAUGUAGAAACAAUGCAGAAGUAUAUACAGAAAACAGUUAAUGACCUCCACCAUACACACAUACCCACUUGUCUUCCUUCACACCUUUCUAAUUCCCAGAGUUACUGUAUUAGCAGUUUGAUGUGUAUAAUUCCAACUUAAACACACACACAAACACAUGCGUGCAAGUGCAUGCACAUUUUUAACAAGAAUAAAAUAGUACACAUGCUGUUCUGCCACUUUUUCAGUCAAGAUUGUGUCAAGAUGUGUUUCUAUUUUAAUAUGUAAGAAUCCACUUGAUUCUUUUUAGCUGGUGUAUAAUAUUCUAAGAUAACGUAUAUACCAUAUCUUGCUUAACAGUUCCCUUAUCGAGGGACAUUUAGUUUGGCCUUUAUAUGAUGAGUGUUUCUUUCUUACAUAAGAUUCACCAACGAACACACUUGAACCCAUCUUGUCCUGUUUUAAUGAGUGUAUUCAUCAUCAAAUUUCUUGAACUGAAAUUGCUUGGUCAAGUGGCACAGGCAUUUAAAAUUUCCUAGUAUUGCCAGCUUGCCCUUCAAAAAGUCUGUGCCACUUAAAAUCUUUUUUAAGAUUUUAUACUCCCAUCAUGGUAUAUGAACAAUGCUCCUCUUCUCUGAGAUUUGACUGGAAGACUUGGAAGAUAGUCAUAGUUUACUUCUGUUGCUAUAAGCCCCAUCCCAGAGCCUGUUGCUUCUUCUGUGACUCUAGAGGCUGGUCAGGUUGGUCAGAGCCAAAGGAGCAAUACAACUUAAGUUGCCACGUGGGGUGGUAGAAAGAAUACAAAACAGAGUAGGAGAUCUAGUUUCUAGGACCAUGUCUCUGAGGCAUUGGACAGGCUACUUUAAACCUGUGGUUGUCCAUUUGAUUAUCAACGAAAUGAAGAUCAUAAUUGUGGCAGAACAAUGUUGUGUUUGUUGUGAGGAUCAAGCCAGGAGGUCCAAAAGUGGUUUGUAACCCGAGAAGCAGGAUACACAUGCCAAGUGGUUAUUCAACUAGUGUGGUGAUUAUGUCCUUUCUCCAAUCAGUGAGGUUGGAGAAGGAAACGGGAAAGUGGGAGUUGAGUAGGAAACAUUACACAGAUGAAAUCUUUAAGACAUUCUUAGCUUCCCUGAAAGUUCCCAUGCAAUUGUCCUAUAUUCUUGGAGAAUAAAUCACAUUGGUAGCAAAGACUGCUUUAUGGUGUCAAGAUGAAUUGGGGCACCUUACUGGCUCAUUUGGUUAAGCAUCUAACUCUGGGUUUUGGCUGAUCUCGUGGGUCCUGAGAUUGAGCCUCCAGUCGGGCUCUGUGCUGAGCGGAGAGUCUGCUUGAAGAUUCUCUUCCUCUGCCCCUUACUCUACUUGUGUACACGUGUGAAUUCUCUCUCUCGCUAAAAUCAGUUAGUCAAUCAAUCUUAAAAAGAAAAAGAAGAAUAUAGGAUAUUGCCCUUUGAUGGGAAGACUGAAGUCUUCUAUGCUGGGCCUGGCUCCUAAGCCCAGUCCUCUUUCUUUUUUUAAAGAUUUUAUUUAUUUAUUCAUGAUAGACACACACACACACACACACACACACACACACAGAGGCACAGACAUAGGCAGAGAGAGAAGCAGGCUCCAUGCAGGGAGCCUGAUGUGGGACUUGAUCCUGGGUCUCCAGGAUCAGGCCCUGGGCUGAAGGCAGCACUAAACUGCUGAGCCACCUGGGCUGUCCCCCAGUCCUCUUUCUAUGACACCUCUAUGCUUUAAUUUGUCAGGCACCUAAUAGGAUUUUGGCCCUGUGCUACUUUCCAUAAUCACCAGUGAGAGAAGAAAUACAAACACGAAAUGCUUAAAUAACCAUGUGUGGUGACUGCAUAAAUAGCUCUGAGUUAUUGCUGAGGUAUAUGUGAGGAUUAGAGUGAAAUCAAAUACCUUUUAAUUACAAUUUAAAUCAAUAGCGCAGAAGAACAAGUUAAAUCAUGAGCCAGAAAAAAAUCCAGUUUUAUGUCUUAAAAAAAAAACAUUCUUAUUGUUUAAAAUAACCCAAAUAAGUGCACUUUACAAAUCAGAGAUGUAAUAUUAAGUAAAUGUUCAUUCAUUUAGAUCAGUGAUUUUUAAAUUACUUUAACCAUGAUGUAAAAAUAAAAAAUCAAUUUGAUGGGCUACUUUCUUUAACCCCAAAGUUAAUUAAAAAGAUAUCUGUAAGGGAUCCCUGGGUGGCGCAGCAGUUUGGCGCCUGCCUUUGGCCCAGGGCGCGAUCCUGGAGACCUGGGAUCGAAUCCCACGUCAGGCUCCCAGUGCAUGGAGCCUGCUUCUCCCUCUGCCUGUGUCUCUGCCUCUCUCUCUCUCUCCGUGUGACUAUCAUGAAUAAAUAAAUUAAAAAAAAAGAUAUCUGUAAAAUCAUGGAAAGCAGAACCAUCGUGAUUUCAACCUAUUAGGGAUUUGAGGAGGAGGGUGAGGGGUGUUUUUGCACUGGGAAGGCAACCACCAAACACACACAAAAAGGCUAUUUAAAAAUGCCUGAUUUUUAAAAAUUACCAAUCUAGUAUACCCCUUUUCCCCCCAAAGCAAAUGUGUAUUUAAACAAAACCCAUAAUACUGUGUCUCAUAUUUUUAAAAAGCAUGGGCCUUAGACUCAGAUCCAGAUACAAAUUCCAGCUCUGCGACUUCUUACCAUGUUCAUGUAAUAGUCAUGUAUGCAUAAACAUAUUUUCAAUUAAGGAAAAUAAAGAUAAAAUGCAAAGUGAUCCUUUAAAAAAUCUGGAGUAUAUAGUUUAUUUAGUCUUUGCCUCCCUGUUUCCUGCCUUGUCUUAGAUUGGAAGGGUCAUGGUUGUUCUCUUUUCAACUUCCAGCAUGAGCAUAAUUCUAAAUUAAUAAGUCCGAAGAGGUAUCCCAUUCUCUCAACUUCCCCAGAUGUCUUCUCUGUGAACCUAGAGGUCUGUUGUGUGACUUUUCCUAGAAGGACCUUCGCAAAUAUAUUAAUUAGUUCACCCUCCAUCUUGAAACUUGUUUUGCUAGCAUUAUGAAGCAAUGAUGGCCAGAUGUUAUGGGGUGUUGAGAAAUGUGGAGGAAAGUGUACUGUGGAGGGUCAUAACUCAUUUUGACCAUUUAAGUAUGUCAGGAUAUCUUCAUAAAAAUAAAUUUGCAAGGGGAGAGGGAAAGCUACCCGUAGACUUUUACCCAAUUGUGAUAAUUUUAUGUUCUCUUCUGAUCAUUUCUAUGGGUGUAUUUUACAUCAUUAUAAUUUGAAUGUAAUUAGUAUUUUGCAAUUUUUGGUCAUUUUUGAUGAGAGCUUAUUGUCUCCUUGCUGGAAUUUACCAUAAUUUAUAUAAUGUAGCCAAAUCCUGGUGGUGGGAGGUGGAUAUGGAUUUUGGAUUAGCAAGGGAUGAUUUUUGGAGUUACAUUUUAAGGUUUGCACAUGGGUAAAAACAUGUACUUAUUGUUAAAGAUGAGAGGCCACACCGAAGGUUUUAGGGAGAGCCACAUUUUAAUGAAAUUAAAUAUAUGUAUAUAUCUAUAUAAACUACUUGACGUAGUUUUAUUACUAUUAUUAUUUUGUCUAACUCUCCGUGUUUUGAAGUGUGUGUUUCAUGAGCAGAAAGGUAGUUUUCCUGUCUAAAUUGUCAUCUCUGAACGCCACUGCCAUAUCUGCCGGAGUCUACUUUGUAUUCCAGAGACUCUUAUCAGUGUAACCUGUUGGCCUGACAGGUGGUUUCCCAAACCCAAACCAUUUUCCCCAGUAAAGAGUGCCCAUGUAGCUGGACGGAUUUCCUCCCCUGGAAAUUAUUCUGAAAUUCCAAUCUUCCUGAGGGGAGCCGUUUAAGGAAGAUGCACAAAACGCCCCACCCCUCCCCACUGUCAGGUGCGCCUGUCCCUGUUUCUCUCUCUCUCUCUCUCUCUCUCUCUCUCUCUCUGUCUCUCGAUGGCCCCACCUCUUUCUAGACAACCCUGACAGUGUAGAAGUUUCCAUCUCCUUUUCCUUUCCCUCUCUCUGUUCCCUCCCCUUCAGGUUUUUUUUUCCCCUCCCAGGCGCUUCCUGCCUGGAAACAAAAGAUUGGUCCCCAGCAGCCCACUCAGGGCGAUUUUAGUUUUCUGCUCACCCUCUGAUUGGCCCGCGUGC